rnacentral:rRNA from 1 species
UACGUAGGGUGCGAGCGUUAAUCGGAAUUACUGGGCGUAAAGCGUGCGCAGGCGGUUGGUUAAGUCUGAUGUGAAAGCCCCUGGCUCAACUGGGGAGGGUCACGCGAUACUGUUCGACUCGAAGGCAGGAGAGGGAAGUGGAAUUCCCGGUGUAGUGGUGAAAUGCGUAGAUAUCGGGAGAAACACCAGUGGCGAAGGCGACUUCCUGGCCUGUUCUUGACGCUGAGGCGCGAAAGCUAGGGUAGCAAACGGG